GCCCUCGUGGUCUAGCUGGAAAGACGGCACCUUGCGGAGGUGCAGAUCCUGGGUUCAAAUCCCAGCGAGGGCG
rnacentral:tRNA from 1 species